rnacentral:rRNA from 1 species
AGAGUUUGAUCAUGGCUCAGAACGAACGCUGGCGGCAGGCUUAACACAUGCAAGUCGAGCGCCCCGCAAGGGGAGCGGCAGACGGGUGAGUAACACGUGGGAACGUACCCCCCGGUUCGGAAUAACUCAGGGAAACUUGAGCUAAUACCGGAUACGGCUGAGAGGCGAAAGAUUUAUCGCCGGGGGAUCGGCCCGCGUCCGAUUAGCUAGUUGGUGUGGUAAUGGCGCACCAAGGCGACGAUCGGUAGCUGGUCUGGGAGGAUGAUCAGCCACAUUGGGACUGAGACACGGCCCAAACUCCUACGGGAGGCAGCAGUGGGGAAUAUUGGACAAUGGGCGCAAGCCUGAUCCAGCCAUGCCGCGUGAGUGAUGAAGGCCUUAGGGUUGUAAAGCUCUUUCGCCCACGACGAUAAUGACGGUAGUGGGAGAAGAAGCCCCGGCUAACUUCGUGCCAGCAGCCGCGGUAAUACGAAGGGGGCUAGCGUUGUUCGGAAUUACUGGGCGUAAAGCGCGUGUAGGCGGGUCCUUAAGUCAGGGGUGAAAUGCCGGAGCUCAACUUCGGAACUGCCUUUGAUACUGGGGAUCUUGAGUCCGGGAGAGGUGAGUGGAACUGCGAGUGUAGAGGUGAAAUUCGUAGAUAUUCGCAAGAACACCAGUGGCGAAGGCGGCUCACUGGCCCGGAACUGACGCUGAGACGCGAAAGCGUGGGGAGCAAACAGGAUUAGAUACCCUGGUAGUCCACGCUGUAAACGAUGGAUGCUAGCCGUUGGGGAGCUUGCUCUUCAGUGGCGCAGCUAAUGCCUUAAGCAUCCCGCCUGGGGAGUACGGUCGCAAGAUUAAAACUCAAAGGAAUUGACGG